GGCGGACGGGUGAGUAACAUUUAGGAAUCUGCCUAGUAGUGGGGGAUAGCUCGGGGAAACUCGAAUUAAUACCGCAUACGACCUACGGGUGAAAGGGGGCGCAAGCUCUUGCUAUUAGAUGAGCCUAAAUCAGAUUAGCUAGUUGGUGGGGUAAAGGCCCACCAAGGCGACGAUCUGUAACUGGUCUGAGAGGAUGAUCAGUCACACCGGAACUGAGACACGGUCCGGACUCCUACGGGAGGCAGCAGUGGGGAAUAUUGGACAAUGGGGGCAACCCUGAUCCAGCCAUGCCGCGUGUGUGAAGAAGGCCUUUUGGUUGUAAAGCACUUUAAGCAGGGAGGAGAGGCUAAUGGUUAAUACCCAUUAGAUUAGACGUUACCUGCAGAAUAAGCACCGGCUAACUCUGUGCCAGCAGCCGCGGUAAUACAGAGGGUGCGAGCGUUAAUCGGAAUUACUGGGCGUAAAGCGAGUGUAGGUGGCUCAUUAAGUCACAUGUGAAAUCCCCGGGCUUAACCUGGGAACUGCAUGUGAUACUGGUGGUGCUAGAAUAUGUGAGAGGGAAGUAGAAUUCCAGGUGUAGCGGUGAAAUGCGUAGAGAUCUGGAGGAAUACCGAUGGCGAAGGCAGCUUCCUGGCAUAAUAUUGACACUGAGAUUCGAAAGCGUGGGUAGCAAACAGGAUUAGAUACCCUGGUAGUCCACGCCGUAAACGAUGUCUACUAGCCGUUGGGGUCCUUGAGACUUUAGUGGCGCAGUUAACGCGAUAAGUAGACCGCCUGGGGAGUACGGCCGCAAGGUUAAAACUCAAAUGAAUUGACGGGGGCCCGCACAAGCGGUGGAGCAUGUGGUUUAAUUCGAUGCAACGCGAAGAACCUUACCUGGUCUUGACAUAGUGAGAAUCCUGCAGAGAUGCGGGAGUGCCUUCGGGAAUUCACAUACAGUGCUGCAUGGCUGUCGUC
rnacentral:rRNA from 1 species